rnacentral:tRNA from 1 species
GCGGAUGUAGCUCAGUAGGUAGAGCAUCUGGUUGUGGCCCAGAGGGUCGUGGGUUCAAGUCCCGUCAUUCGCCCCA